CCUACGGGUGGCAGCAGUGAGGAAUAUUGGUCAAUGGGCGGAAGCCUGAACCAGCCAAGUAGCGUGCAGGAUGACGGCCCUACGGGUUGUAAACUGCUUUUAUACGGGCAUAACGCGCCUUACGUGUAGGGCUUUGCAUGUACCGUAUGAAUAAGGACCGGCUAAUUCCGUUCCAGCAGCCGCGGUAAUACGGAAGGUCCGUGCGUUAUCCGGAUUUAUUGGGUGUAAGGGGUGCGCAGGGGGCGUGUCAAGUCAGCGGUAAAAUGGCGGGGCGCAACCCCGGGCGGCCGUUGAAACUGGCGUGCUCGAGUUGGAGAGAAGUAUGCGGAAGUCGUGGGGUAGCGGUGAAAUGCAUAGAUAUCACGAAGAA
rnacentral:rRNA from 1 species